rnacentral:rRNA from 1 species
GAUGAACGCUGGCGGCGUGCCUAACACAUGCAAGUCGAACGACCAGACGAUGAGCUUGUUCCCCUGACGUUAGCGGCGGACGGGUGAGUAACACGUAGAUAACCUACCUAUAAGUCUGGGAUGACUUCGGGAAACCGGAGCUAAUACCGGAUAAUAUAUUCUACCGCUUGGUUCAAUAGUUAUAGACGGCUUUGCCGUCACUUAUAGCUGAAUCCGCGCCGCAUUAGCUGGUUGGUAAGGUAACGGCUUACCAAGGCGACGAUGCGUAGCCGACCUGAGAGGGUGAUCAGCCACACUGGAACUGAGACACGGUCCAGACUCCUACGGGAGGCAGCAGUAGGGAAUCUUCCGCAAUGGGCGAAAGCCUGACGGAGCAACGCCGCGUGAGUGAUGAAGGUCUUCGGAUCGUAAAACUCUGUUGUUAGGAAAGAACAGAUGUGUGAGUAACUAUGCACGUUUUGACGGUACCUAAUCAAAAAGCCACGGCUAACUACGUG